UGUCUGGGUGCUUUAGGUGCACGCUUAGCUUUACAUGGACAGCCAGGAUGCAAAUGCCACAGAGUUCAAGGAACGGCUUGACUCACUAAAACCAUUGGCAGUCCCAUAUCUUUGCGGUUUGUUCUCUGCUCAUUUUUAUUGAACUGGAGCUUAAUGAACAUAUUCUUAUAAACCAUUUGUUAUACUAUGCACAGUUCAGAUGAGCUUAUAGCACGUUCUCUCAUUACCAAAAAAACAAAACAAUCCGGCUGUUGGAGAAUCUCUGGAAGCUCCACUUGUGGUUGCCACUCCUCGGAAAGUCAGCUCCUCUCGGGAAGACGACUGUGAUGAUAAACAUUUUGUAUCUGAAACUUUCGAUGUUUGUUUUGUAAUGAAGUUGGCUUGAGUAACGUUUGACUUCAUUGUCUUUAUGU